rnacentral:rRNA from 1 species
GAGGAAUAUUGCCCAAUGGACGCAAGUCUGAGGCAGCAACGCCGCGUGCGCGAUGAAGGCCUUCGGGUUGUAAAGCGCUUUUCUGGGGGAAGAGGAAGGACGGUACCUCAGGAAUAAGUCACGGCUAACUACGUGCCAGCAGCCGCGGUAAUACGUAGGUGGCCAGCGUUAUCCGGAUUUACUGGGCGUAAAGCGCGUGCAGGCGGUUUCGUAAGUCGGACGUGAAAGCUCCUGGCUUAACUGGGAGAGCGCAUUCGAUACUGCGAGGCUUGAGGUCGGGAGAGGGACGUGGAAUUCCCGGUGUAGUGGUGAAAUGCGUAGAUAUCGGGAGGAACACCAGUGGCGAAGGCGGCGUCCUGGCCCGCACCUGACGCUGAGACGCGAAAGCGUGGGUAGCGAACGG